CUAGAACGGAUCCGACGGUCAGGGACGAAGCCUAGGGGCACGAACCGGAUUAGAUACCCGGGUAGUCCUAGGUGUAAACGCUGUGGACUUGGUGUUGGGGAAGCCCAGAGCUUUCCCAGUGCCGUAGCGAAGGUGUUGAGUCCACUGCCUGGGGAGUACGGUCGCAAGGCUGAAACUUAAAGGAAUUGGCGGGGGAGCACUGCAACCGGAGGAGUGUGCGGUUUAAUUGGAUUCAACGCCGGAAAACUCACCAGCAUCGACGGACAAAUGAAAGCCAACUUAACGAGUUUGCUGGAUUGUUCGAGAGGUCGUGCAUGGCCGCCGUCAGUUCGUACCGUAAGGCGUUCUGUUAAGUCAGAUAACGAACGAGACCCUCAUCCUUAUUUGCCACCCUAUCGCUUGCGAUAGGACGGGACUAUAAGGAGACCGCUGGCGCUAAGUCAGAGGAAGGCGAGGGCAACGGUAGGUCAGUAUGCGCCGAAUAUGCUGGGCUACACGCGCACUACAAAGGAUGGGACAAUGAGCAGCUACACCGAGAGGUGAUGCGAUCCCGAAACCCAUUCGUAGUUCGGAUCGAGGGCUGUAACUCGCCCUCGUGAAGCUGGAUUCGGUAGUAAUCGCGUCUCAAAAAGGCGCGGUGAAUAUGCCCCUGCUCCUUGCACACACCGCCCGUCAAACCAUCUUAGUUGGGGGUGGAUGAGGCUGCGUCCCUAGGGCGUAUUCGAGUCUGCCUUCGACAAGGAGGGUUAAGUCGUAACAAGGUAUCUGUAGGGGAACCUGCAGAUGGAUCACCUCCU
rnacentral:ncRNA from 1 species